rnacentral:rRNA from 1 species
UACGUAGGGUGCUAGCGUUGUUCGGAAUCACUGGGCAUAAAGAGCGCGUAGGCGGUCUGAUAAGUCAGGUGUGAAAUCCCCCGGCUCAACCGGGGAACUGCACCUGAUACUGUUGGGCUUGAGUGCAGGAGGGGAGAGCGGAAUUCCUGGUGGAGCGGUGAAAUGCGUAGAUAUCGGAAGGAACGCCGGUGGCGAAAGCGACGUGCUGGACACCAUCUGACGCUGAGGCGCGAAAGCCAGGGGAGCAAACGGG